UGUAUUUCAGGUGGCUGUAGGAGUUGUUAAUAUAAUUGUAUGCCGGUGUAUUUCAGGUGGCUGUAGGAGUUGUUAAUAUAAUUGUAUGCCGGUGUGUUUCAGGUGGCUGCAGGAGUUGUUAAUAUAAUUGUAUGCCGGUGUAUUUCAGGUGGCUGCAGGAGUUGUUAAUAUAAUUGUAUGCCGGUGUAUUUCAGGUGGCUGCAGUAGAUUUACUGGUACCAGAAGUAGGUGAACUAAUUGGAGGAAGUCUGAGAGAGGAAAGAUAUGAUGUAAUCAAAUCAAGAUUGGAUGAAUUAGGGAUGACAGCAUCUUAUCAGUGGUACCUUGAUUUACGAAGAUAUGGAAGUGUAACACAUGGUGGAUUUGGAAUGGGCUUUGAGAGACUUCUCCAGUGCUUCCUAGGAAUAUCAAAUAUAAAAGAUACUAUACCAUUCCCCCGCUGGCCACACCAUUGUUCAUUGUGAUAUUCUUCCACAAUUGCAUAGUUUUUCCAAAUUCAAUAAAUUACCAGUAAGACUGUAA
rnacentral:lncRNA from 1 species